GAUGAACGCUAGCUACAGGCUUAACACAUGCAAGUCGAGGGGCAGCAUGAUCAAAGCUUGCUUUGAUUGAUGGCGACCGGCGCACGGGAGAGUAACGCGUAUCCAACCUUCCCCUUAGUAGGGCAUAGCCCGGCGAAAGUCGGAUUAAUACCCUAUGUUAUUCGUCGAGGACAUCUGAAGUGAAUCAAAGAUUUAUCGCUAAGGAAUGGGGAUGCGUCUGAUUAGGUUGUUGGCGGGGUAACGGCCCACCAAGCCAUCGAUCAGUAGGGGUUCUGAGAGGAAGGUCCCCCACAUUGGUACUGAGACACGGACCAAACUCCUACGGGAGGCAGCAGUGAGGAAUAUUGGUCAAUGGGCGAGAGCCUGAACCAGCCAAGUAGCGUGCAGGAUGACUGCCCUAUGGGUUGUAAACUGCUUUUAUACGGGGAUAAAGUGAGGUAUGCAUACCUUUUUGUAGGUACCGUAUGAAUAAGGACCGGCUAAUUCCG
rnacentral:rRNA from 1 species